rnacentral:rRNA from 1 species
CUACGGGUUGCUGCAGUCGCGAAAACUCCGCAAUGCACGAAAGUGUGACGGGGCUACCCCGAGUGCCAUCCGCUGAGGAUGGCUUUUCGUUGGUAUAACUAGCCAUUGGAAUAAGGAGAGGGCAAGACUGGUGUCAGCCGCCGCGGUAAUACCAGCUCUCCGAGUGGUAGGGAUGAUUAUUGGGCUUAAAGCGUCCGUAGCCGGCUUAGCAAGUUUCCUGUUAAACCCAGCGACUCAAUCGUUGGAUCGCGGGAAAUACUACUAGGCUAGGAGGCGGGAGAGGUCAACGGUACUUCUGGGGUAGGGGUGAAAUCCUAUAAUCCCGGGAGGACCACCAGUGGCGAAGGCUGUUGACUAGAACGCGCUCGACGGUGAGGGACGAAAGCUGGGGGAGCGAACCGGAUUAGAUACCCGCGUAGUC